UACGUAGGGGGGCGAGCGUUUGUCCGGGAAUCAUUGGGCGUAAAGCGCGUGUAGGCGGCCCGGUAAGUCCGCUGUGAAAGUCCAGGCUCAACCCUGGGAUGCCGGUGGAUACUGUCGGGCUCGAGUCCGGAAGAGGCGAGUGGAAUUCCUGGUGUAGCGGUGAAAUGCGCAGAUAUCAGGAGGAACACCAAUGGCGAAGGCAGCUCGCUGGGACGUGACUGACGCUGAGACGCGAAAGCGUGGGGAGCAAACAGG
rnacentral:rRNA from 1 species